UACGUAGGGACCGAGCGUUGUCCGGAAUCAUUGGGCGUAAAGAGCGUGUAGGCGGCCACUUAAGUCCUGCGUGAAAUCUUGCGGCUCAACCGCAAGCGGUCGUGGGAAACUGGGUGGCUAGAGUGCGGGAGAGGAGAGUGGAAUUCCUGGUGUAGCGGUGGAAUGCGCAGAUAUCAGGAGGAACACCGAUGGCGAAGGCAGGUCUCUGGGCCGAUACUGACGCUGAGGAGCGAAAGCGUGGGGAGCGAACAGG
rnacentral:rRNA from 1 species